GAUGAACGCUGGCGGCGUGCCUAAUACAUGCAAGUCGAGCGAACAGAUGAGGAGCUUGCUCCUCUGACGUUAGCGGCGGACGGGUGAGUAACACGUGGAUAACCUACCUAUAAGACUGGGAUAACUUCGGGAAACCGGAGCUAAUACCGGCUAACAUAUUGAACCGCAUGGUUCAAUAGUGAAAGACGGUUUUGCUGUCACUUAUAGAUGGAUCCGCGCCUCAUUAGCUAGUUGGUAAGGUAACGGCUUACCAAGGCAACGAUCCGUAGCCGGCCUGAGAGGGUGACCGGCCACACUGGAACUGAGACACGGUCCAGACUCCUACGGGAGGCAGCAGUAGGGAAUCUUCCGCAAUGGGCGAAAGCCUGACGGAGCAACGCCGCGUGAGUGAUGAAGGUCUUCGGAUCGUAAAACUCUGUUAUCAGGGAAGAACAAAUGUGUAAGUAACUAUGCACGUCUUGACGGUACCUAAUCAGAAAGCCACGGCUAACUACGUG
rnacentral:rRNA from 1 species